UUCCUUGUAGUCCAGUGGUUAGGACUCUGAACUUUCACUGCAGAAGGCCUGGGUUCAGUCCCUGGUCGGGGAA
rnacentral:tRNA from 1 species